GCAUCGGUUGUUCAGUGGUAGAAUGCUCGCCUGCCACGCGGGCGGCCAGGGUUCGAUUCCCGGCCGAUUCA
rnacentral:tRNA from 1 species